rnacentral:rRNA from 1 species
AUUGAACGCUGGCGGCAUGCCUUACACAUGCAAGUCGAACGGCAGCGGACCUUCGGGUGCCGGCGAGUGGCGAACGGGUGAGUAAUAUAUCGGAACGUACCUUUCAGUGGGGGAUAACGUAGCGAAAGUUACGCUAAUACCGCAUAUUCUGUGAGCAGGAAAGCAGGGGAUCGCAAGACCUUGCGCUGAUUGAGCGGCCGAUAUCAGAUUAGCUAGUUGGUGAGGUAAAGGCUCAUCAAGGCGACGAUCUGUAGCGGGUCUGAGAGGAUGAUCCGCCACACUGGAACUGAGACACGGUCCAGACUCCUACGGGAGGCAGCAGUGGGGAAUUUUGGACAAUGGGCGCAAGCCUGAUCCAGCCAUGCCGCGUGAGUGAAGAAGGCCUC